GACGAACCGAGCGAACGUUGUUCGGAAUCACUGGGCUUAAAAGGCGCGUAGGCGGGCUGUCAAGUCUGGGGUGAAAUCCCACGGCUCAACCGUGGAACUGCCUUAGAUACUGACGGCCUCGAGGGAGAUAGGGGCGAGCGGAACUGUGAGUGGAGCGGUGAAAUGCGUUGAUAUUCACAGGAACUCCGGUGACGAAGGCGGCUCGCUGGAUCUUUCUGACGCUGAGGCGCGAAAGCUAGGGGAGCAAACGGG
rnacentral:rRNA from 1 species